rnacentral:rRNA from 1 species
CCUACGGGAGGCAGCAGUAGGGAAUCUUCCGCAAUGGACGCAAGUCUGACGGAGCAACGCCGCGUGAGUGAAGAAGGUUUUCGGAUCGUAAAGCUCUGUUGUAAGAGAAGAACGAGUGUGAGAGUGGAAAGUUCACACUGUGACGGUAUCUUACCAGAAAGGGACGGCUAACUACGUGCCAGCAGCCGCGGUAAUACGUAGGUCCCGAGCGUUGUCCGGAUUUAUUGGGCGUAAAGCGAGCGCAGGCGGUUAGAUAAGUCUGAAGUUAAAGGCUGUGGCUUAACCAUAGUACGCUUUGGAAACUGUUUAACUUGAGUGCAAGAGGGGAGAGUGGAAUUCCAUGUGUAGCGGUGAAAUGCGUAGAUAUAUGGAGGAACACCGGUGGCGAAAGCGGCUCUCUGGCUUGUAACUGACGCUGAGGCUCGAAAGCGUGGGGAGCAAACAGGAUUAGAUACCCGGGUAGUC